UUCCUGUCACGUGGUUUCCCUGGAACUCGGAAUGCAUUUCAAAGGAUUUCCAGCAGCAACAAUUUUGGAAUAUACCUACAUACAUACCCUAGGGGAUAUUAUAUUGUAACGUAUGUAAUGAUGAGCGGGAUAUUUCGCCUUUUUAUCUUGCUGGUCACCGGGUUCAUGAGGGAGCCCUGCUUCACGAGGGAG